AAUGAAACAACAUCAUGAGAAGUGUUCCUUAUCAGGAGGAAGCUGCGUUGAAGAUGAUGAAAGGUACCUGUUUGAACAUGCAGAAUCUUCAGGAGAAUCCGUCCUCAACACACAGAAUUCUGAAAACUAUCCACCAUCAAGAUCACCAUCAUUUUCUAUAGUUUCAGAGUUAUCUGCCAAUGAUAGUGUUUCAGUCACAUCAUGUAUGUUACACAGCCACAGUAUAUCAUCUGUAGCAGAAAUGAUAAAAAAAUCUCCAUCAUCCAGAAACAA